rnacentral:misc_RNA from 1 species
AGCAGCCGCGGUAAUUCCAGCUCCAAUAGCGUAUAUUAAAGUUGUUGCAGUUAAAAGCUAGUAGUUGAAUUUCGGAAUCAGUACGCCAGUCAUGCUUCGGUAUGUACUAGUGUCACUGAUUCCUUCCUUCUGACGAACCGUCAUGCCAUUAAUUUAGUGUGAUGUGGAAUCAGGACUGUUACUUUGAAAAAUUGAGUGUUUAAAGAAGGCUCGCGCUUGAAUACAUUAGCAUGGAAUAAUGAAAUAGGACGUUUGAUCUUAUUUUGUUGGUUUCUAGGAUCGAUGUAAUGAUUAAUAGGGAUAGUUGGGGGCAUUAGUAU